UACGUAGGGGGCUAGCGUUGUCCGGAUUUAUUGGGCGUAAAGAGCGUGUAGGCGGCCAGAUAGGUCUGCUGUGAAAACUCGAGGCUCAACCUCGAGAUGUCGGCGGAAACCAUUUGGCUAGAGUCCGGAAGAGGAAAGUGGAAUUCCUGGUGUAGCGGUGAAAUGCGCAGAUAUCAGGAAGAACACCCGUGGCGAAGGCGGUUCUCUGGGACGGUACUGACGCUAAAGCGCGAAAGCCAGGGGAGCGAACGGG
rnacentral:rRNA from 1 species